AACGUUACAUUGCUAAUUUGCUUCUUCACUGUAGGCGAGUGGAUAUUUAGUGAUGACGACACAUUAACUUACCACUAGCAAUAAAAACAUGCGGAAGACGGCUAAUUUACUUCGUAAACAGCCAAUUUAUACUACUAACUCAUUUGUGAUGUUGUACUUUACCGCAGACGACUGUAUCUGAGCAACUCCUAAGUUACCUCCAAGCGAGUGCGUUUAGCGCUGCUAGAGCCAGAUGCUUCAGGCUGGUCCUCGUCCUCUGGAAAGGUCUUCCAUGGCUGUGUCUGGUAAAUAUAUCGGAUGGUUAAUCGCUCUUAGCCACUGUUUGCAUCGCUCCACAUCUCUCGGUAGGGCAUGAAAACUUACUUUUUGUCUUUUCCUGGUUCGGACUGAACAUCCCGGUACCAUGCAAUAAUUAA